rnacentral:rRNA from 1 species
CCUACGGGCGGCAGCAGUGGGGAAUAUUGCGCAAUGUGCGAAAGCCUGACGCAGCGACGCCGCGUGAGGGAUGAAGGUCUUCGGAUCGUAAACCUCUGUCAGCAGGGAAGAACGGUCACUGUGCUAAUCAGCAGUGAAUUGACGGUACCUGCAAAGGAAGCACCGGCUAACUCCGUGCCAGCAGCCGCGGUAAUACGGAGGGUGCGAGCGUUAAUCGGAAUUACUGGGCGUAAAGCGCUCGUAGGCGGUAGUGCAAGUCAAGGGUGAAAUCCCCGCGCUCAACGUGGGAACUGCCUUUGAAACUGGCAAACUGGAGUGUGGGAGAGGAUAGUGGAAUUGCAGGGGGAGGAGUGAAAGCCGUAGAUAUCUGGAGGAACAACAGUGGCGAAGGCGACUAUCUGGCACAUAACUGACGCUGAGGAGCGAAAGCGUGGGUAGCAAACAGGAUUAGAUACCCGAGUAGUC